GGGGGUGUAGCUCAUCUGGUAGAGCGCGUGCUUAGCAUUUCAUUUGGUGAGCAAUCAUCACAGUACAUGUUACCUGCACGAGGUACUGGGUUCGACUCCCAGCUCCUCCA
rnacentral:tRNA from 1 species